CGACCUUGUGGUUGAUGGCGCGGCGCUGGGCUGGCUGCAGCUUGGCCAGCAGGGCGCCGGCCCAGGCUUCCAGCGCGUGCAGGUCGUC
rnacentral:tRNA from 1 species